rnacentral:lncRNA from 1 species
CCUUCAAGUCAUGGACGACAGAGGCUCUGCCCCCUCCAGUCUCCCAGCAGAGCCUCAAAGUCCUGUGAGUGAGAACCCCGCUUGUGGAGAUGAGGAGCUGGACGAGGAGACCAUGAAGCACAUCUCCGCCUUGUACACAGCUUUGGGGCCCCUCCUGACAGAGGUGACCCAGCUGCAAAGCCAUCAGGACCCCCCUGCCCGUCUGAUGGUUGACAUGAAGGCCAAACUGAAAGAGCUGGGCUCCAGCGUCUCCGAUGCCAGGACCAGGAUGCUGAGGUACAACAUUUACCUGAAAAAGAAGCUGGCCAAAGCAGUGCAGGAGAGGGCAGCCCUGAGAGAGCAGUCGCUGAGGCAGGAAGGCGCUGGCACUGAGCAGCCCAGCAUCACCCCGCUGCCGAAGGGGGCCAGGUCCGAGGUGGAACCAGAGAAAUCCAGCAUGGGGACAGAGAAGCACAUCCAGGAGAUUGUGGCAUCAGAAAUCCCGAGGAUCAAGCCACCACCCGAGCGGGUGCAACGGCGUGUGAAGCUGCAGGAAGCUCCUUUGGCAACAGAGGACACAGGACGGGCCAGUGUGACACCCCAGGGAUUCCCCCAGAAAAAUGCUUCCAAUGUAGAUAACGUGGUAACUAGAACUACCUUACAUGACGACUGUGACUUAACCAAGGAUGGCUUGAGUGGUGUGGCUUUUCCUUCUUGCACAGUGACGGGGAUGAAACCUCAUGAAAUGGUGAAGAACAAACUCUACACCGUUCACGCCCUGGCUCUGGCCAGGCUGCCUGCUGCUAAACGUGAAGAUAGCCAAACGUGUUUGUUUGCUGACCUUCCGGCCCUUCCCUUAAAAGAAGCCCACUCUGACCCAUAGCAGUGGGACGUGCACAGUUCUCUCCAUGCAAGCACCCGCCUGUCACGCUUCCCGAAGGACCGUAGGCUGCCGUGAGAGCGAACGACGUUGAGCCAGGUUGCCUUCAUCCACGUAACAGCAAUAAAAAGCCUGCAUUCCUGCA